rnacentral:rRNA from 1 species
AUUGAACGCUGGCGGCGUGCCUAACACAUGCAAGUCGAGCGGUAACAGGGUGUAGCAAUACAUGCUGACGAGCGGCGGACGGGUGAGUAACGCUUGGGAAUCUGCCUAUUAGUGGGGGACAACCCGGGGAAACUCGGGCUAAUACCGCAUACGCUCUACGGAGGAAAGCCGGGGACCGCAAGGCCUGCGCUAAUAGAUGAGCCCAAGUCGGAUUAGCUAGUUGGUAGGGUAAUGGCCUACCAAGGCGACGAUCCGUAACUGGUCUGAGAGGACGACCAGUCACACCGGAACUGAGACACGGUCCGGACUCCUACGGGAGGCAGCAGUGGGGAAUAUUGGACAAUGGGCGAAAGCCUGAUCCAGCGACNCCGCGUGGGUGAAGAAGGCCUGCGGGUUGUAAAG